rnacentral:rRNA from 1 species
AUUGAACGCUGGCGGCAUGCCUUACACAUGCAAGUCGAACGGUAACAGGUCUUCGGAUGCUGACGAGUGGCGAACGGGUGAGUAAUACAUCGGAACGUGCCUAGUAGUGGGGGAUAACUACUCGAAAGAGAGGCUAAUACAGCAUGAGAUCUACGGAUGAAAGCAGGUGAGCGCAAGACCUUGUGCUACUAGAGCGGCCGAUGGCAGAGUAGGUAGUUGGUGGAAUAAAAGCUUACCAAGCCGACAAUCUGUAGCUGGUCUGAGAGGACGAUGAGCCACACUGGGAAUGACACACGGCCCAGACUCCGACGGGAGGCAGCAGUGGGUAAUUUUGGACAAUGGGCGAAAGCCUGAUCCAGCAAUGCCGCGUGCAGGAUGAAGGCCUUCGGGUUGUAAACUGCUUUUGUACGGAACGAAAAGCCCUGGGUUAAUACCCUGGGGUCAUGACGGUACCGUAAGAAUAAGUACCGGCUAACUACGUGCCAGCCGCCGCAGUAA